rnacentral:lncRNA from 1 species
AUGCACUCCAGCUUUCUGCUCUGCUCCCUUUCCCCUCCAACCAGGCAGGAGUUGGAGGAGAGCAAACACGGCUGUAAGCUCCCUGCAGGGUGUCCCAACAAAGCCUGGCACGGCUGGGAAAUUAGUCAGAAACUGCUGGAAACAGAGCAACCUGGGAGGAAUCUGCUUCAUCACACUGCUGCUGUUGCCCAACGUGAGUUCUGCAGUGAUCGGCUCCAGCUGACUCAGUGCAGAGCCCCGGCAGGGAAGAGCUCAUGUCAGGAAGUGCGUGUGGUUCAGACGGCUGGGGACGCCGCAUGUCGGAGAGCCUCAGCUGGCACAUGUCUGGAACAGAGCGGCCAGAGGGGAUUUGGUGCUGAGUGUUGCAGACAGAGCUUUGUACCGGUUGGAGCGAGAAAAUAUAAGAAGUGGAAGAUGAGAGAGUUCCAUUGCUGUGGGUCUGGCAGUCACGCAGGCUGCCCAGACCUUGUGGACUGCCUAUGCUGGGGCACUGGAAGGUUUUACUCUGUCUGGAUGCUGCUGUGGGAGUGCUAUUGAGGUGGGCAAACUCUGCUUGGUCCCAGUGAGCUUCCAGAGUAAGAUUUCAGCUGAAAGUCAAAGAAACCCAAAGAUAGAAGCAGAAAUACCGUGAGAAAAAAUGAACCCGUAGUUUUCAAGCCGAGUGUGAUACAAGAGGUAAGGGAACUGACUUUGACGUGAUUAACUGCUAGGCCUGUUUGCCAAAAACUGAAACGUCUCCCAUCAUUAUCUUACACUCCCCCUUACGCAGAUUGCUGAACCAGAUCCACAGAUGAUAUCAGCUGGUGGGUGCAGGUACAUUCAUGCGAGUAGUGUUACAGUGAUUUAAGCUAGAUGACAAUCAGCCUCACCAGUUUCAGGAAGUGAGUUUUAUUAUUCAUUUGAUUGAAAGGUAUUUUCCAAUUGUUGCAAAGUGGGAAAUGUGUUUCGAAUUCAUCAUUUUUUUAAGCCUCACACACAUUGUUUGGCAAAUAAGGAUUGUUUUGGUUGUCUGGGACUCGUCCUUUGCAUCCUCCCAAAUGUGAGAUUUUCCUCUUUUCUCUAAUGGGCCAUUCUGGUCCAGCUAAACACACAGUGGCCAGCUUUGCAAAGCAAUAAGCCUUCUUUAGAAUGAGGCCUUUGGUUUCAUCUCUAAUCUUUGUGGAAAAACUGGACAUUACAGUAGAAGGAUUAUGCUAAAUUGCUUUCUGCCACUGAAGAGCUGGACAAAGCAGCAGUUCAAGGCAUGGAAUGAGUAUUCUGAAAUAAGCACUUUGUCACUGAAUUCACUACCAAGAAAUUAACCUAAAUGAUUUCAAUAUACAAGUGUUUGUAAUUUGCAUCUAAGCCUUACACCUUACAGAGACUUCCUUGUUUGCUGUUACUGUAGUCAGUGUUUGCUCACAGGCUGCUUAAAAUCAAGCAGCGAGGUCAAGCUGGGACCCGAUCCAAAGCGGACUGCCUUGCCUUGUCUGCAUAACCUCCCAGGGCUCAUUGCUCUUCAGAGGACUUGAAUGGUGCAAGACUGAGUCUGAAAUUUGUUACUGCAAGGCAGGUUUCCUCCAUUACUUGGGAAUAUCUGAUCAAACCAGAGACCUUCAUGCGAAUACUACUGUCACUCCUGUCCUACACUGAAUUGCUCUCUGAAGAAGACUGCCUUUCUCUCUCUCUCUUACUCAACAGAUAUUUUACAAAGGAUCUAUCAUUUUUCCUUAAGACACAAAUUCACAUCACCUUUGGAUGAUCAAAUCUAAAUUAUUCUGGGUGCAUAUGAGUUACAAGAGGUAACCUCCAUGUGCACAGCUUUCACACUGGUAUCUUCUUUCUACACAUUCUGUAUCAGAUAUUAACCAGUCUCCUCCUCCUUUCUUCCCCCACUCUUAGCCAUCAGAUCUUUUUGCACAUUGAUAUCACUCUCAUGUGAUUUUGUUACCUUUCCAUUUUCCAUUCAGAACAAUGUAAUCUCCAAACAGAAAAACUCCAUGGCAAGAUAAGAUGCUCAUCAACAGGACCACCUACUCCUGUCCCAGGUAAAGGAAUCAUCCAAGGCUAUUGUAAAUGCAAAUGUACACAGGACUUAGGGUGCUGUCCAUAGUUUUGCAGCAUUAGAUCAUAGAAUCAUAGAAUCAUAGAAUCAUAGAAUCAUAGAAUCAUAGAAUCAUAGAAUCACAGAAUCAUAGAAUCAUAGAAUCAUAGAAUGGCCUGGGCUGAAAAGGACCUGAAAGAUCAUCUAGUUUCAACUCCCUUGCCAUGGGCAUGGUUGCCAACCGCUCAACCAUUAGAUAAUGUGGUCUUUGUACAUGUGCAAUUGGUUGCAGCCAUUAGUCUUCUCCAUUUCUCUUUCAGACUGAGGAUAUUUCUGCCCCAGCAGCAAAACUGAACCUGCAAAAAAGUCCUCUUGUUUUCAUUCCUGUCAGAACCACAAUAUUCAAAUUAAAAAAAACCUCAAUUUUUGAUUUUGUAUCUCACACUCAGGAGAAAACAACUAUGCAUGGGAAGGGACAAAACAAAAAACCUCUGCAUUUAUUAACCCCAAAGUCUUCAAGAAAUAAAGGUAUGAUUUAAAAAUGCCUGUGUAUAAGU